rnacentral:tRNA from 1 species
UUUAAUGUGGCAGAAUUAAUGCAAUAGGCUUAAAAUCUAUUAAUAGGGUCACCCUCUUUAAAA